rnacentral:rRNA from 1 species
UACGAGGGGGGCAAGCGUUGUUCGGAUUCAUUGGGCGUAAAGGGCGCGUAGGCGGCGGGGUAAGUCGGGUGUGAAAUCUCAGAGCUCAACUCUGAAACUGCACUCGAUACUGCUUUGCUAGAGGACUGGAGAGGAGAUUGGAAUUCACGGUGUAGCAGUGAAAUGCGUAGAGAUCGUGAGGAAGACCAGUGGCGAAGGCGGAUCUCUGGACAGUUCCUGACGCUGAGGCGCGAAGGCCAGGGGAGCAAACGGG